GCUGGGCGUUGUGGCGGGCGCCUGUAGUCCCAGCUACUCAGGAGGCUGAGGCAGGAGAAUGGCUUGAACCCAGGGGCUGGAGCUUGCAGUGAGCCGAGAUCGAGCCACUGCACUCCAGCCUGGGUGACAGAGCAAGACUCCGUCUCAA
ensembl:misc_RNA Metazoa_SRP Metazoan signal recognition particle RNA